rnacentral:rRNA from 1 species
AUUGAACGCUGGCGGCAUGCCUUACACAUGCAGGUCGAACGGCAGCACGGGAGCAAUCCUGGUGGCGAGUGGCGAACGGGUGAGUAAUAUAUCGGAACGUGCCCAGUCGUGGGGGAUAACGCAGCGAAGGCUGUGCUAAUACCGCAUACGAUCUACGGAUGAAAGCGGGGGAUCGCAAGACCUCGAGCGAUGGGCGCGGCCGAUAUCAGAUUAGCUAGUUGGGGGGGUAAAGGCCCACCAAGGCGACGAUCUGUAGCUGGUCUGAGAGGACGACCAGCCACACUGGAACUGAGACACGGUCCAGACUCCUACGGGAGGCAGCAGUGGGGAAUUUUGGACAAUGGGCGCAAGCCUGAUCCAGCAAUGCCGCGUGCAGGAUGAAGGCCUUCGGGUUGUAAACUGCUUUUGUACGGAACGAAACGGCUCCUUCUAAUACAAGGGGCUAAUGACGGUACCGUAAGAAUAAGCACCGGCUAACUACGUGCCAGCCGCCGCAGUAACAC